rnacentral:lncRNA from 1 species
AGGGCCGGUCCUGGCAAAAAUGGGGCCCUGGGCGAAACUAAAAAAAUGGGCCCUCAAUAUAUUAUUGUGCAUAAAAUAUUGAAAAAUAAAAAUAUUUCAUUACUUAUAAAAAUGACUUCGUCUGGCGUUUUUACUCGUAAAAUCAUUUACAACAUCGUCCAAAUCUAUGUUAUCUAAAAUAUUUUUUUCUAUACAUAAUAUUGCCAAGCCAUUCAAUCUCGCUAGGCACAUUGACGAUCUCAAAUAUGUUUUCAACAACUUUAACUUUGAGAAGCUCCUCUCAGCUGACGCAACAGUAACCAACAUUGUCAACAUGAUUCUAUAAGCAAUUGCAACAUGAUUCUAACAAAAUUUAGACUAAUUAAAAAAAUUAAUUUGCAGACUACAUCCUAUGAUCCUAAAUUAGUUUGCAGAAUACAUGCUUAUUGCUUAUGAUGGUAUGCCUAUUGCGGCUAUAUAAUAAAUUCCUAAUGCCAAUUGCCAAACUAGCAUUAAAAUAAUAGAAUAAUUUGGCUUGAAUUAGAUAAUGCAAAUUAACUAACAUAUUGCCGCUAUAUGACUAUAUUCUAAUAUUCUUCGUGAUGUAAUUUACCAGAAUUUUUCCGUAUGACUAUAUCCUAAUAUUUGCCGAAGCGGCGAAGCCGAAGAUAUUAAAAAAUGAAAAUCAACAUUAAAAAUUUAAAAGGAACGGAACAAUCGAACAAACUUACCAAUUACCAGAAUCCAGAUUCCAAAAGACAAAUAGACAAUGAGGGUACAACAACAAUCUUCCCUGCUACGAACCCAAACGAAGACAAUCUCUAAAUUGCAGUGUGAAUUUUUUUGCUCAAGAACAAGAAGGACAAUAAUCAAAGAGUAAAUUGGUGAGAACAAUUAAUUUACCUCAUUCUAUUUAUACAACUAUAUAUCUGACUGAUUCUGAUUCAACUGUAAAAAUUGAGAAAUUGAAGAGAUUAAUACCUUCCCCAUGAAAUAAAAUUGGCGUCUGCAACGGCUUGAAGCAGAAGACGAAGCGUUUUUUUUUUCCCGAGAAUUACGCCUGGAAUUUGAAACAGAUGAGAUUUAAUGUUUGAUUUUAGAUAUCUAACGAUUUAGUAUUUACCGAUAACAGAUUUUGGGCCCAAUUAACAAGCUUAAUAUUUUUAUUUAAUUAUGGGCCUAUAAUAACUAAUGAAAUAUAAUAAAAAAUUUGGGCCCUCAGAUUUUUGGGGCCCUGGGCCGUCGCCCAGGCCCGCCCGCCCCCAGGGCCGGCCCUG